rnacentral:misc_RNA from 1 species
AACAAGGCGUACCUGCGGACCUGCGGAGGGAUCAUUACCGAGUUUACAACUCCCAAACCCAUGUGAACAUACCUAUCGUUGCUUCGGCGGGAUCGCCCCGGGCGCCUCGUGUGCCCCGGAUCCGGCGCCCGCCUAGGAACCUUAACUCUUGUUUUAUUUUGGAAUCUUCUGAGUAGUUUUUACAAAUAAAUAAAAACUUUCAGCAAUGGAUCU